AUUGAACGCUGGCGGCAGGCUUAACACAUGCAAGUCGAGCGGAGCGAGGGUGCUUGCACCUUAGCUUAGCGGCGGACGGGUGAGUAAUGCUUAGGAGUCUGCCUAUUAGUGGGGGACAACAUUCCGAAAGGGAUGCUAAUACCGCAUACGCCCUACGGGGGAAAGCAGGGGAUCUUCGGACCUUGCGCUAAUAGAUGAGCCUAAGUCGGAUUAGCUAGUUGGUGGGGUAAAGGCCUACCAAGGCGACGAUCUGUAGCGGGUCUGAGAGGAUGAUCCGCCACACUGGGAUGAGACACGGCCCAGACUCCUACGGGAGGCAGCAGUGGGGAAUAUUGGACAAUGGGGGGAACCCUGAUCCAGCCAUGCCGCGUGUGUGAAGAAGGCCUUUUGGUUGUAAAGCACUUUAAGCGA
rnacentral:rRNA from 1 species